rnacentral:rRNA from 1 species
GAGGUCAUCAGUAUACGAACAGAGUUUCUAAUUCGGUACGUACACAUUCAUGUUCGGCUGAAUUCCGCUUUGGCGCUUACCGAGUAAUUUAGUCGAUACUAAGUAACCUAGACAUUUGGGUGAAUGAACCUAUUGACACCAUUAAGAUCUCGAUUAUGUACGUGGUGCAGAGACUGGCGUUCCCUUCUCGCGAAAAUAAUCAAGUUUUGGCCAGCCCGGAGCCAGGCAUUGGGGGGACACUACUGAGACUUAUUGAAACUCGACUCGCGUGCCAGAGGCGUGGCCGCGGCGUAGAAAGUUCACAGACGGAAUAGUCGAAAGCUAACAUCCAAUACGCGGAUGUUACCGAUAUUGCCCAUUGCCCCUUAGUCCCAAGCUAAGGCCUCUCCCUCGGACUCUUUGCCGAUGGUGUAGAUUCCUUCCGUCGUCCGUGCGUUUAAUGGGUGAGGGCCGUGCCCCUCCAUCACUGCUUUUUAUUGCUACGCUCUGAGUAGGCUCCGGAGCGUUAGCCUUACUCAUGUGAAAUUUAGGAAAUUGCUCCUAGAUAACCUCCCGUUCAGACCACGGUCGUCGGCGCCAUUAAGGUCGAGGUUAUCGCAUAUAAUUUCAACAACGUCAAUUUUUCGAGCAUCAACCUAAAGUCAAGACCUGACUGCCAAGUGGCGGGCCACGUGUGACAGUGCGAGGCUUGUCGGUGCUUUCGGGCGACCGAGCGUGCCCCACGAGAAGUAGCUCACAGGGCGCACCGGCCGUCUCAAAUGAAACUUUUUUAAUCUCACGAGUCUCGUCCGAUGUGANUNCCGGACUUACGGAUACGUACCUUAUUACCUUAUCCUGGAGCCAAGAUAAAACAGCCAAAAGACUUGGGCUCCAUUACUGAUUAUCCUUGUCCGCCCCCGUAAGCAUAACGCUGCGAUCUCCACUUUAAGAACCUGGCAGCGUUCUGCUUGAUGACGCUUUCGUAAACGGUUCCUACAAAAGUAAUUAGUUCUUGCUUUCAAUCUCCAAGCUUCCGCUAGUCUAUGGCGGGAUCAAGAUUGGUAUUUGCUACGACUGGUCGCUAGGCGGCCGCAAUAAGGGUACUGGGCCGCCCGUCGAAGGCCCUUUGGUUUCAGAAACCCAAGGCCCCCUUCAUACCAACGUUUCGACUUUGAAUUUCCUUAACUGCCUUCCCGUGGUGGUCCUCACCUCGGACGCCGAAUUAAACUGAGUUGUGCCCCUUGGAGUGGUCCGGGUCUGUGGCCUUCCUAACUGUCUAACUCUCGAGAAAGAGCUAAGCCACCCACCACCACGUACCGGCAAGAAUCAACCACCUCGCUAAACAGACCAAUUAAGGCUAUUGCUUGCUCUGAGACCGGAUGAUUGAUCAGCUGCCUAGAGGUCGUUAACCACAGGUCANGCGUUGAAG